AAACGACCCAGGGCUGUCUUCCUUAUAUGCUGCAAAUGGGAACUAGAGUCUGUCAUUCCCACAACUUUCCCCCUCUCCACACCCACCGUAUUCCAGGUCAGUUUAGGAACAAAGCUUCCAUGCUCUAGUUAUCUCCCGCUUGGACUACUGCAAUGCGCUCUACGUGGGGCUAAUUUUGAAGGUGACCUGGAAACUACAGUGAAUCCAGAAUGCGGCAG